UAACACAUGCAAGUCGAAGGAGAAGGUAGCUGCUUGCAGCUACUGGAGACUGGCGGACGGGUGAGUAACGCGUAGAUAACCUGCCUAUAUCUGGGGGAUAACAUCUCGAAAGGGGUGCUAAUACCGCAUAAUGCAGCGGGGCCGCAUGGCCACAGUUGUUAAAAGUUUCGGCUGGAUAUAGAGGGGUCUGCGUACUAUUAGUUAGUUGGUGAGGUAACGGCUUACCAAGGCGAUGAUAGUUAGGGGGUCUGAGAGGAUGAUCCCCCACACUGGGACUGAGACACGGCCCAGACUCCUACGGGAGGCAGCAGUGAGGAAUCUUGCGCAAUGGGCGAAAGCCUGACGCAGCCACGCCGC
rnacentral:rRNA from 1 species